rnacentral:lncRNA from 1 species
CAAUUAUUUUGUGAUAAAGUGCUUAUUAAGGAGAAUAUGUGGCCAAGUGGAAAGAAAAGGCCCAGGCAGAUGGGAAAGUGCUUUGGAAAGUUUUUUAAGGCACUCCUACUUGUGCUUUUGGGAGAAAAGAAAACUGCAAUUUUUAAAGUAUCUUCUUAGAGGUUUUCCUGUUUGUGUGAAGAUGCUUGCGUUCUUGCAGUGGAGGAAAAGGAGUGGAAUUGAAGCGUUAGAAGUUUUCAUUUCCCCUGCAAUACGGAAAGCCUCAGGGCUCUGCACUCUACUGGAGUUCUCUGCCAAAAGGUGCUUCAAAGUGCUGAGAAUCCAGCUCUUGCUUCUUGGCAGUUAGAUUCUGCCUUCGUCUCCGACUCCAGAAUUUUUAUGUGCUGUCAGUCUGCGUUGUGCCCCACCUCCAAGUGAUUCUGUGAGGCUGCACCUGAGAGGGCUAUUUGUGCAAGUUCAUUAUCUCUUCCUACUCUCCUGUGAGUAACUCAAUGUGAUUUUUCACUCUCUUGAACCUCCUGCCAGGAGUUUGCAGUGACAGCACUCUCAGGUGGAGAUCUGCAGCAACACCUCCAAAAUUAAAGCUGAUCAUCACGACAGUGUAAAUAUUUGGUUUAAGCUUCAGAUCACCAAUCUGUAACAUAACACACGGUUCCAUUUACCUGUGGCUUGUAGAAUAUGUAGCUGCUGGCUGAAAGACAGAUUUUAUUAAAGAGGUUGUGUAUCUUUUAGAUGCAAUAGCACUAGGAAAGGGAAACUUUUGAUUGUAGCUUUUUCUCAUUUUUGGAGCGACUUGUCUAAAGUAUAUGGAGCUGAAUUUCUCCGGGCCAUGUUUUGCUGUUAAGAUAUGUAAAUGAGUUUUGCUUUUUCUCAUAUGCAGCUGUCCCGGAGAUAAGUUGUAUUUGUUCUGUGGCAGGUGUAGCGUUUCUUUUAAUUUUAAUGUGAAUUAAGAGCUCAGGUAAAGAUUUUCUUUCUUUGUCUACUCUGCAGAUUUUCCUGGCUGUAUUCUUAUGGUAGCAAGGCAGCAUUCCCACCACUAUCUGCCCUGCUUCCAACACAUGGUUAAGUGCCAGCAUUAAGUUAGCAUGCUAUUGCAUGCAGUCAAGGCUGCUUGG